rnacentral:rRNA from 1 species
GAACGCUAGCUACAGGCUUAACACAUGCGAGUCGAGGGGCAGCAUGGUCUUAGCUUGCUAAGGCCGAUGGCGACCGGCGCACGGGUGAGUAACACGUAUCCAACCUGCCGUCUACUCUUGGACAGCCUUCUGAAAGGAAGAUUAAUACAAGAUGGCAUCAUGAGUCCGCAUGUUCACAUGAUUAAAGGUAUUCCGGUAGACGAUGGGGAUGCGUUCCAUUAGAUAGUAGGCGGGGUAACGGCCCACCUAGUCUUCGAUGGAUAGGGGUUCUGAGAGGAAGGUCCCCCACAUUGGAACUGAGACACGGUCCAAACUCCUACGGGAGGCAGCAGUGAGGAAUAUUGGUCAAUGGGCGAGAGCCUGAACCAGCCAAGUAGCGUGAAGGAUGACUGCCCUAUGGGUUGUAAACUUCUUUUAUAAAGGAAUAAAGUCGGGUAUGGAUACCCGUUUGCAUGUACUUUAUGAAUAAGGAUCGGCUAACUCCGUGCCAGCAGCCGCGGUAAUACGGAGGAUCCGAGCGUUAUCCGGAUUUAUUGGGUUUAAAGGGAGCGUAGAUGGAUGUUUAAGUCAGUUGUGAAAGUUUGCGGCUCAACCGUAAAAUUGCAGUUGAUACUGGAUAUCUUGAGUGCAGUUGAGGCAGGCGGAAUUCGUGGUGUAGCGGUGAAAUGCUUAGAUAUCACGAAGAACUCCGAUUGCGAAGGCAGCCUGCUAAGCUGCAACUGACAUUGAGGCUCGAAAGUGUGGGUAUCAAACAGGAUUAGAUACCCUGGUAGUCCACACGGUAAACGAUGAAUACUCGCUGUUUGCGAUAUACUGCAAGCGGCCAAGCGAAAGCGUUAAGUAUUCCACCUGGGGAGUACGCCGGCAACGGUGAAACUCAAAGGAAUUGACGGGGGCCCGCACAAGCGGAGGAACAUGUGGUUUAAUUCGAUGAUACGCGAGGAACCUUACCCGGGCUUAAAUUGCAGAUGAAUUACGGUGAAAGCCGUAAGCCGCAAGGCAUCUGUGAAGGUGCUGCAUGGUUGUCGUCAGCUCGUGCCGUGAGGUGUCGGCUUAAGUGCCAUAACGAGCGCAACCCUUGUUGUCAGUUACUAACAGGUUCCGCUGAGGACUCUGACAAGACUGCCAUCGUAAGAUGUGAGGAAGGUGGGGAUGACGUCAAAUCAGCACGGCCCUUACGUCCGGGGCUACACACGUGUUACAAUGGGGGGUACAGAGGGCCGCUACCACGCGAGUGGAUGCCAAUCCCCAAAACCUCUCUCAGUUCGGACUGGAGUCUGCAACCCGACUCCACGAAGCUGGAUUCGCUAGUAAUCGCGCAUCAGCCACGGCGCGGUGAAUACGUUCCCGGGCCUUGUACACACCGCCCGUCAAGCCAUGGGAGCCGGGGGUACCUGAAGUGCGUAACCGCGAGGAGCGCCCUAGGGUAAAACUGGUGACUGGGGC